rnacentral:rRNA from 1 species
GAACGGAAAGGCCCUGCUUGCAGGGUACUCGAGUGGCGAACGGGUGAGUAACACGUGGGUGAUCUGCCCUGCACUUCGGGAUAAGCUUGGGAAACUGGGUCUAAUACCGGAUAGGAACCAUCUUUAGUGUGGUGGUUGGAAAGUUUUUUCGGGUGUAAGAUGAGCUCGCGGCCUAUCAGCUUGUUGGUGGGGUAAUGGCCUACCAAGGCGGCGACGGGUAGCCGGCCUGAGAGGGUGUACGGCCACAUUGGGACUGAGAUACGGCCCAGACUCCUACGGGAGGCAGCAGUGGGGAAUAUUGCACAAUGGGCGCAAGCCUGAUGCAGCGACGCCGCGUGGGGGAUGAAGGCCUUCGGGUUGUAAACUCCUUUCGCUAGGGACGAAGCUUUUUGUGACGGUACCUAGAUAAGAAGCACCGGCUAACUACGUGCCAGCAGCCGCGGUAAUACGUAGGGUGCGAGCGUUGUCCGGAAUUACUGGGCGUAAAGGGCUCGUAGGUGGUUUGUCGCGUCGUCUGUGAAAUUCUGGGGCUUAACUCCGGGCGUGCAGGCGAUACGGGCAUAACUUGAGUGCUGUAGGGGUAACUGGAAUUCCUGGUGUAGCGGUGAAAUGCGCAGAUAUCCGGAGGAACACCGAUGGCGAAGGCA